UACGUAGGGGGCAAGCGUUGUCCGGAUUCAUUGGGCGUAAAGAGCGUGUAGGCGGCCAGGUAGGUCUGGUGUGAAAACUCGAGGCUCAACCUCGAGAGGUCAUCGGAAACCAUCUGGCUAGAGUCCGGAAGAGGAGAGUGGAAUUCCCGGUGUAGCGGUGAAAUGCGCAGAUAUCGGGAAGAACACCUAUGGCGAAGGCAGCUCUCUGGGACGGUACUGACGCUGAGGAGCGAAAGCGUGGGGAGCGAACAGG
rnacentral:rRNA from 1 species